AAAUAACUGUAUUUUUAUUUUAUACAUAUUUUGUGUUUAAAUAUAAUAGUAUUAUCACACUGAUUAUUUUGUUUAUUAUUUUAUUUUAUUAAAAUACCAAAUAAAAAAAUGCAUUAAUACUAUCAGUAUUCAAACUUAUUUUAUUUUUAUAGUUAUAUUUAAUAAGUGCCUAACCAAAUCUCCAGGUGCUCUCAUGAAAAGCAGACCGCACCCCUGUCUCUAUCAGAGACUGUAUGGUCCGUACAUCAGACUCGAGGUUGGAACUUGGAACCCACUGUGACGUCAUCGCAUCGAUCUGCGCACGCGCUUGGACUAUAAAAAGCGCGUUCGCGUGGUCUUUGUUCCCAGUUCCGUCUUCUUUAACCAGGUUUUGCAGUAUGUGGGCUGUUGGACCAUGGAGUUGUGCUGUAGUGCUUACUCAGAUUUUGAUCAUACUGAAGCCGAAUGGAUAACCUCACAUUCAUCAGACUUCGUCUCAUAAGUCAUUCACACUUUAAAUCAGGAAGAAUUCUGUAGUUCUGGAGGACUUCACGCGAUGACUGACCUUUGAAUGGCCACGUGUGAAGGUAUUUUUCAGAGUGUAUAUUAUGUAUUUUGUUCACUAACUUGGAUUUCAUCUAAUUAUUUGAUUUUCACAUUUUUCUAGGCACUUGAGGGAUUUGCUCCUCCUAAGGCUCUGCAGGGCCAAACUCACGUGGAGAAGUGGGUGACGUACAUAAUGGUCCCUCUAUGCAGUCCAGUGUUUACCAGUUAUGAGGAGGAAAAACUUUAUGCAUUAAAGCUGACCUACUACGGUUUCAAUGUGUGUUGGUUUUUUUUUUUUUUUGACUAAUCCUAAGAAUUGCUUAUGUAAGUGAAACUAGUCUUGCAGCUGGCACUUACCUCUUUUACAUUUACAAUAAAACUAUUAAACCAUGAACCGAUUAUUUUUUU
ensembl:lncRNA